UUGAUUUCUUUCUCAUUUCUCUUCGAUUUAUCGCCUCCUGCGGUUGGUUGGUCUCUCAAUUUCUCUCUCGAGCGCGUGAUUUUGUUCAUUUCUCAGUGUGUAGCUUCCAUAUCUAGGGGUCAGUUGCUGAUGUGAUUUUGAUAGGGUUCUUGGUAGGUGUGUGUUGUGAUCCGGGGCCGUGUUGUUGUAGAUUCAUGGUAGGUGCUUGUAGUUUUAGUGGUUCGUUCUGGUUCGCGUCGUCCCGCUGUCGUUCAUCAUCUGCUUCGUGUUGUCCGCCAUUUUGUUCCUCGUCUACUCGUGGUAGGUUCAACGUGUUCAGUUUUUGUGAUUCAGAUAGAUGUAUGGAUCAGUUAUAGGGUUUUGAGAUGGGAGUUUUUGUGGUUUUGGGUUUGUGAUUUGCAUUGGUAGGUGGUUUGUUUGUUCACUGGUAGAUGGGUGUUGCCUCCUCUGGCUGUGUUGGUUUCUAGGGUUCCUCCUGUGCCCGCUGUUGCAGGUCCCUUUUAUCAUGUGAGUGGAUAAAUCGCUCUUAGUGUUGGUUUAGAUGUACUUAGGUUCCUUCUUCUUAAUGCCAUGGUAAUUGUGUGUGUGUGAUGCAGGUUUGUAUCUUUUCCUUUGUGCCGUUGAUGUGUAUUUUUGCCUGAGUCUUACUGUGUAAUCCACAUAGUUUUAGUGUGCAAAUUGCAAAUCUAGUUUCUGUUUAUUCCAGUAGAUCAUCCCAGUAGUAGUCUGAUGCCAUUGAAAUGUUUCUGUUUAUGCUAAUUGUCAUGCAUCUUAUUUUCCACGAACUAUAGUGGAAUUUAACUGUGAUUUACACUAUAAUAUAGGACAUGAUUCCAUUGUAAUAUGCCUAAUAUUUGCACUGUAAUUUACCAACUGUAGUAUACCCCAUAAUUACAGUGUAAUUUCUAUGCUUCAUCACUGUAUCUACCCCAGAUUUACACUGCAAUUUAUAUGCUUCAAAACUGUAAUAACAUCUGGAUUUACCUCUGAAUUGCUGUAGGGCUUACACUGUAAUAUACCGCAGAUUUACACUGUAAUUUGUAUGCUUCAGCACUGUAAAUGUUGUAUGAUUUACACAGUAAUUUUUGGACUGAGUAUAGUGGAUUUUACCUCUGUAUUGAUGUAGGGCUUAUACUGUAAUAUACUGCAGAUUUACACUGUAAUUUGUAUGCUUCAGUACUGUAAAUUUGUAGGUCUUACACAGUAUAUGUCAGAUGAUUGACCUCUCAUUUUUUACAGUGAUUUCCAUGCUUUUAGCUCUGUACUUCAUGUAGUUUCUUGCAUUUAUUUCUUUUUUUCAUGUGCAAGUGUGUCUCUGUGGCAGUAGUAUUGAGCGAGGUCCUGUUUUUCACUCUGUAAUUAUAGUAUUUUUACUGUAUAUUUUUGCCUCAGACUUAUUGUGUAAUCUUCAGACUUACUAUGCAAAUUACAUGGUAGUUUCUGUGUAAGUCAGCCCAUAGUUUCAGUGUUUCUUCACAUAAUUACUAGUAUUUACUGUGUAUGUUUGCCCCAUUUUUACUGUGUAAUUCAUCAUGUAGUUACAUUGUAAUUUACUAUAGAAUUAUUGUGUAAUUCAUCAUGCAGCUCUAGUGUAAUUCAAUGUAGAAUUACUUUGUAAUUCAUGCUGUAUUUUACUAUGUAAUUCAUUAUGCAGUUUCAGUGUAAUUCAUGCCGUAGUUUUACUGUGUAAUUCAAAGCAGAAUUACUGUUUUGUAGCUUCAGUGUAAUUCACCCUAGAAUUAAAUUGUAUUUUUGCCCAAUAACCACUGUGUAAUUCAUCAUAUAGUUCAGUGUAUCUUGUCCUUAGUUUUCAGUGUAAUUUACACAAUUUACUGAUUCCAGUGUAAUUUCCCCUAGAAUUACGAUGGUUUACAUUGUAGCUACAAUGUAUAUUCCCAGAUUUUUGCAAUGUAUUUACAUUGAUUCAGUUAUGUAAUCUGUCAUGCUGAUUUUCACUGUACCCCUAGUCUUUAUUCUGAAUUUUUACAGUGUACCCCUAGUUUUACCGUGUUGCUUAUUAUAUGUAUUUUACAGUGUAAUCUUUGCCCUAAUUUACAGUGUAAUAUUCAUGCUUUUAGCACUGUGAUUUAUAGGUUCAGUUUAAUGGGUAAGCUUAACAGUGUGAGUAACAGUACAAUUUGCAGUAGUAUUUUAACAGUGUAAGUACAGUAGGUUUGUUCCAGUCUAAGUUUUGAUGCAUUUUAACAUUCAUACACUGAAAUUUCUAUGGCAUUUUCCACUGAAAUUUCCAUGCAAUUUUCACUGUAAUUUCUUCAAUUUCCACUGUAAUUUCUAUGCAAUUUGCACUGGGAAUUACUAUGUAAUUACUAGGGGAUUUUUGCACUGUAAUUCUUGGUCUGUUUAGUCAGUUUUUAGUGUAAUUACUAGGGGAUUUUCCACUGUAAUCCUUGGUGUGCUACUGUUCUUUCUAGAUUCAAUCAGGCACUAUGUGUUCUUGCAGUGUAAAUUAUAAAAUUAUCCAAGUUCUGCCUACUGCUAGUGAUGAAUUAUUUCCAGAGUAUCUAGUUUUUGUCUACUGAUUGUUUCUUAACCUGUAUCUAGUUUCUGCGACACAUUUUGUUUUUGCAGAUUUCCUUCUAAGAGAGGUGAAGGGGCUGAAGAAUUGAAGUGCUAGGGGGUAGCAGUAGUUUUUUUGUUCCUGACUUGUUGAUUUUUCUGGGAUUUCCCCAAUUACCUAAGCGGGUGAAGAAUUGAAGAUGUUGUUGUUCCUUCUUGCUCGUCUCCAGGUGAGAUCUCUGCUGCUGUUAUGUAGCAAGUUGAUGGCCAACUGUUUGCUGUGGUCCAGCGAGGCUGCCGUGCAGCGAGGUUUGGUGGUGGUGUCGGUUUAGUUGAAACCGGGCCAGGGUUUUGCCCGACCCGUUUAACCCGAAAUAAGAAAACCAACAACGACCCGUGGGGUGGGGGGUUUGGGACAAACAUGUGUCAUCUGUUCAUUGGUUGGGGAAUUUGAAUGUUGUUGAAUUGAAAAACAGUCAAAUGUCAAAUAGACAGUCCCGCUUUGUAAUUACUUCAGAGUAGUGCGUUUUUGUUGUCCAGGUUGAACUGAGCACGGUUAAUGCAUUUUAUUACACAUUUAUAUGUAGAAAUAGAUGAUAAAGAGCUA